CGCUGGGUUGUGAUCCAGGCCAGCGUUCCCAGCUCCCGGCGUCACACCCUCUCCCAGCUGUUGCCUCGCCGAGCAUCGCGGGCGCUGCCAAGAAAACCUUGGUGAUGGAUGCAACUCCCUCCCCGCUCCCUUAAAACCGGCGGGGAGCGGCACCGUGCCUGUGUCUGCCCCGGCACGCCGAGAUCCGCCUGGGAAUGGGAUCCCGCUGGCACCCAGGGCACCCCCAGCUCGUCCUGCCCAGCGCGGAGCAGCGGGACAGCGUUGGCACCGCACGAGCUCAUGCCUUAGGCCGGUGUGGAGGGAGCUGCCGCUGUGCCCUGGGGCGCUGAAGUGUCACCUGUCCCCCAUCCCGACAGAGAAGAGACAGGUGAGAGGGUGCCCGGUGUCACUGGGGUGUGGGGGGAGCUUCCCUUUGGGUUUUCAGUCCAAUUCAGUACAAAAAAAAAACAAAGAGAGAG
rnacentral:lncRNA from 1 species